AACGAACGCUGGCGGCAGGCUUAACACAUGCAAGUCGAACGCAUCCUUCGGGGUGAGUGGCAGACGGGUGAGUAACGCGUGGGAACGUGCCCUUCAGUUCGGGAUAACCCAGGGAAACUUGGGCUAAUACCGGAUACGUGCGAGAGCAGAAAGAUUUAUCGCUGAAGGAUCGGCCCGCGUCUAAUUAGCUAGUUCGUGGGGUAAUUGCCCACCAAGGCGACUAUCCGUAGCUGGUCGGAGAGGAUGCUCAGCCACAUAUGGACUGAGACACGGCCCACACUACUACGGUAGGCAGCAGUGGGGAUAAUUGGACAAUGGGCGAAAGCCUGAUCCAGCCAUGCCGCGUGAGUGAUGAAGGCCUUAGGGUUGUAAUGCUCUUUCGUCCGGGACGAUAAUGGCGGUACCGGAAGAAGAAGCCCCGGCUAACUUCGUGCCAGCAGCCGCCGUAA
rnacentral:rRNA from 1 species